rnacentral:rRNA from 1 species
UGAAUCCUACGGGGCGCAGCAGUGAGGAAUAUUGGUCAAUGGUCGGGAGACUGAACCAGCCAAGCCGCGUGAGGGAGGAAGGUACAGAGUAUCGUAAACCUCUUUUGUCAGGGAACAAAGACUGGGACGCGUCCCCGGAUGAGUGUACCUGAAGAAAAAGCAUCGGCUAACUCCGUGCCAGCAGCCGCGGUAAUACGGAGGAUGCGAGCGUUAUCCGGAUUUAUUGGGUUUAAAGGGUGCGCAGGCGGUCUGUUAAGUCAGCGGUCAAAGCCCGGGGCUCAACCCCAGCCCGCCGUUGAAACUGG